rnacentral:rRNA from 1 species
UGUGAAGCCGAGCAAAUCUCAAAAAUAACGUCUCAGUUCGGACUGUAGUCUGCAACCCGACUACACGAAGCUGGAAUCGCUAGUAAUCGCAGAUCAGAAUGCUGCGGUGAAUACGUUCCCGGGUCUUGUACACACCGCCCGUCACACCAUGGGAGUUGGGAAUGCCCGAAGCCAGUGACCUAACCGAAAGGAAGGAGCUGUCGAAGGCAGGCUCGAUAACUGGGGUGAAGUCGUAACAAGGUAGCCGUAUCGGAAGGUGCGGCUGGAUCACCUCCUUUCUAAGGAA